CUCCUGGGAGGAAAGGGGCAGGUCUCCCUUACGCUCUCGUUGUCUCUACGCCUCGCCGUUCUUGGUGCAGAGGACUCGGGAGGGCUGCGUUAAUGAGACAAGACGUUGCCUCUGCUCUGUGACCAUGAAACUGUUUGACCCAUAGACCCUGGACGCCCGGGGUCUCACAGACCGGGCACUGUGAGGUCACAGGCGGCCUGACGCUGGGCCGCCUUCCUGGAGAGGGAGCCGAGCGCCCGUGCCCUCCGGAGAGAGAGGUCCCUCUGGCCCUCGUCUCCAACUCGGGCCGGCUUUCUGUGCCUUUAACACUUGCAAAAUGUCCAGGAAGCAAGGCUUAUUUAGAAUACAGUAGAAUUUGAAGGGGCAAGACUUUUCAGAAGUGGGCAGAGGGUCUGAGAAACUUAGAAAAGGAAAAGCAAUUAACAGGUUCUCUCCUUUCGUCCUGCCCGCGGGGACCUGAGCACCUGACAAGUGGCCAGUCCGAAGGCUUAGUAUGAAAAUAACGAAAAUGUCUCGCUAACAAUUUUUACAUCGAUUACAUGUUGAGAUAAUAUAUUGAUAUAUUAGAUGAAAAUAUAUUGAAAUUGUACUUUGAAAAUAUAGCUAUCAGAAAAAAUUUCAAUUGCACGUAUGACUCGCAUUAGUUUUCUUUUGGACGGCAGUGCUCUUUUUGUGGUUAAGUGAGUUUGUUUAGAUACUGAGGAUUUAUGGGUCCUGCAAAAUGUCUGUAGUGCUAUUUGCCAUCACUAGAUGGCUGCCUCAUUCAACAGACUAGUUUUAUAUUUCCAUCUAACAACUACCAAGAAUUCCACAUAUUUUCAGAGAUUCGAUCGACUUUUUCUGUAACACUGACUGUAAACACAAACCUGAAGUAAAGGCCCUGAGCUUAAAAAGUUGGUUGUAUUCCUGUGGUCCAAGGACAUUAUCAUCAUUGGUUCGACAAAAGGCAAAAGCUGCAGCUGUGUACAGGAAAAUCGUGUUGCAUGGCCAUCCUCGUCACAGACCAUUGCAGUGCUCAAGGCAAGAGUUCUUGGUGGCUUGGAUAAUGACAGUGACAGAAAAAUAGGGAUUGAACUCAGGACCUUGCGCUUGUGGAGCGGCCGUGGUGCUAUUGAGCUAAACCCCCAGCCCUAUUUAAAAAUAUUUCUUCAUUGUUCAAGUUGUAGAAGUAAAGAUGGCUGCUUAGACCUUGUGAAGGAAUAGCAGACCAGUUCCAAGCAUGAUGCAGCUGCAGUAUUACAGGACCAAGACUCUGUGAGUUAAAGAAACAGGAUGAACACAGGAAUGAAAGCCAAGCAGCAAGCUGUCAAGUCACAGAGGAGAGAGUCAGAGACAGGCCAAGCCAGGAAGUAGGAUCAGUUAAGAGUGCUAGAGAGGGUGCAAAGGACCCUGAAGAGAAUCCUCAUGUCCUGGAACACUCAGCCUGAUCUGAAAAACAGUCUUCCCCCAGUGUAGCUGCAGAGAAGGGGGGUGAUUGUGGACAUUUACCACCCAUACUAGAUGGAUCCAGCCUGGGUUAAGGUGACUAUUCUGACUCCUUCCAGUCCCUCACACCUCUUCAUCUUGUAACAGAAAUGUUCUUUCCUGUGGACAAUUCAUCCCACAUAGCAUAAGGCUGACCUCACAUACCUGGGGUGACAGCCUUCCUGGAUUUCCUGGGACUGAGGGGUUUCUUGGGAAAUAGGACCUUCAGUUUUAAAACUGAAAGAAUCCUAGGAAAUGUGGGAUGAGUUGGUUACCUUGAUCCUCAUGAUAAUCACUCUUUCACUGUAAAGAAACACAUAUAUUACCCUAAUUUGGGCUGAUGGAUGUCCUUCCCAGGACAUUAACUUAUUUUCAAAGUUGGGCCCAUUAACUCAGGCUGGAUUAAGUCAAUAGGAUGGAUGUUGUGAUCUGCUGGUGAUCAUUACCCCUUAUAGGGCAAAUAUCUGUCUGAGAGAUAAAGCUUGAAUUCCAAUCUCUGAUGACUAUCUUACCCAGCUAAGUAUGAAACAAACACUACUUGAGAAACUUUUAGGACAGGAGCUAAUAAACUUCUGCCUAAAUUUGGAUUUGGUUUUUGGCGUGGCUUAAUAUAGUUGGUACUUUGGAUAGAAGACAUGAGACUUAUGUGUAUAGGCAUCUUACCUACAAGAGGUCUCUCACUUCAUGAGAUAUAAGAGCUG
rnacentral:lncRNA from 1 species